CCUACGGGUGGCAGCAGUGGGGAAUAUUGCACAAUGGGGGAAACCCUGAUGCAGCGACGCCGCGUGAGUGAAGAAGUAUUUCGGUAUGUAAAGCUCUAUCAGCAGGGAAGUAAAUGACGGUACCUGUUUAAGAAGCCCCGGCUAACUACGUUCCAGCAGCCGCGGUAAUACGUAGGGGGCCAGCGUUAUCCGGAUUUACUGGGUGUACAGAGAGUGUAGACGGCAGCACAAGACCGGAGUGAAAUGCCGGGGCUUAACCGCGGAACUGCUUUGGAAACUGUGCAGCUAGAGUGCAGGAGAGGUAAGUGGAAUUCCUAGUGUAGCGGUGAAAUGCGUAGAUAUUAGGAGGAACACCAGUGGCGAAGGCGGCUUACUGGACUGUAACUGACGUUGAGGCUCGAAAGCGUGGGUAGCAAACAGGAUUAGAUACCUGUAGU
rnacentral:rRNA from 1 species